rnacentral:rRNA from 1 species
CUACGGGGGGCAGCAGUGGGGAAUAUUGGACAAUGGGGGAAACCCUGAUCCAGCAAUGCCGCGUGUGUGAAGAAGGCCUGCGGGUUGUAAAGCACUUUCGGUUGGGAGGACUGCUUCUAGCACUAAUAUUGUUGGAAGUUGACGUUACCUUCAGAAGAAGCACCGGCUAACUCCGUGCCAGCAGCCGCGGUAAACGGAGGGUGCAAGCGUUAAUCGGAAUUACUGGGCGUAAAGCGCGCGUAGGCGGCUAGAUCAGUCGGGUGUGAAAGCCCCGGGCUUAACCUGGGAACUGCAUCCGAUACUGUCUAGCUUGAGUACAGGAGAGGAGAGUGGAAUUCCACAUGUAGCGGUGAAAUGCGUAGAUAUGUGGAGGAACACCAAUGGCGAAGGCAGCUCUCUGGCCUGAUACUGACGCUGAGGUGCGAAGGCGUGGGGAGCAAACAGGAUUAGAUACCCGAGUAGUC